UACAGAGGUCCCAAGCGUUGUUCGGAUUCACUGGGCGUAAAGGGUGCGUAGGUGGCGAGGUAAGUCGGAUGUGAAAGCUCGGAGCUCAACUCCGAAAUGGCAUUGGAAACUACCUUGCUCGAGGGUUGGAGGGGGGACUGGAAUUCUCGGUGUAGCAGUGAAAUGCGUAGAUAUCGAGAGGAACAUCAGUGGCGAAGGCGGCCCUCUGGACCAGUACUGACGCUGAGGCACGAAAGCGUGGGGAGCAAACAGG
rnacentral:rRNA from 1 species